rnacentral:RNase_P_RNA from 1 species
CCGGUGGACGACGGAUCGCCGCGCGGCGGGCAACCGCUCGCGCGGAGGAAAGUCCGGACUCCGCAGGGCAAGGCUUCCUGGUGUAGUGCCGGGAGGGGCGCGGGCAAACCGCGCUGACGGACAGUGCCACAGAAAACAAACCGCCGGCUUCGGCCGGCAAGGGUGAAAAGGCGGUUUAAGAGACCACCGUGCGGGUCGGCAACGGCCCGCGCAAGGCAAACCCAGCCUGGAGCAAGAUCAAAUAGGGGGCGUCGCACGGCCCGUGCACGCCGCGCGCCGCAAGGCGCAGGCAGCGCCCCGGGUUGAUUGCCAAGAUGAAUGAUCCGAACCGCCCGCGAGGGCGAGUACAGAAUCCGGCUUAUGAAUCCACCGGCCCG